AUAUCAUGAUGUGGACAAUUUCUUAGAAGAUCAUUAUAUCUUUCCCAUGAAUCAUGAAAUUGGUCUCCCGAAAUUUGGGAAAACGCCAUGAUAUCUCUUCUCAUUUU